rfam:Cucumis melo, WGS project CAJI01000000 data, contig: 08968
UCCUCUGGAUGAUGAGAAACCAUGAAAUGUACAGUUAUCCCUGGCUGAUUCCAAGUGCUGAUAUUUCAAACUCUGACAGUGUA